rnacentral:tRNA from 1 species
GCUGUGAUGGCCGAGUGGUUAAGGCUUUGAAACUAAUGGGGUUUCUCCGCGCAGGUUAGAACCCUGCUCUCACCG